ensembl:lncRNA
CUCGAGGUUGCCUAUAUAUUUAUAGGAUACAUAAAAAUAUACAAUUAUAAUUCCAAUGUUUUUUUUUUAUCAUGGCUAUUUGUAGCCAAUCUGGUGCUGAGCUUCAUGAUGCAGGUUUUAUAUUGGUGAUAUUGAGAUUUGGUGAGUGAGAUUGGUGAGCCAGAUAAAAACAUCCAUGAAUAUUGGGUCAUUUACGGAGGAACUGCACCUAUUUUUCUUUUAGCAAGUUUGAUAAAUCCGCCUAACUUUGAAUUUAAAAGUGUGCAGCUCGUCUCUGAUUGGAUAAUGACGUUAGGGCGGGAGGAGAAGCACGAGCUCCUCGUUCACGGCUUCAGCUGACGUCACCAACGAGCCAGUAGUAGCGCCGCCACGUCUGCAGAGUGGAGAACACAUCAGAAAUCUUCGGACUACCGGACUACUUUGUACUACUUUCGUUCAACUUCUUUUGGACAAAUCCACGAUUGGAAGAUCCGUGGCUAUUCAAUCGAUCCGGUGCUAUUGCAAAAAAGUUUGCAAGGACAGUCCUGCUAUUCCUCAACAAGGUACAUGCUGAGUCUGGAUCGGAACCUUGUCAACACAAACAUCUCCUCCUUCAUUUCUGCAUUGUGCCUCAUGUUCGGGAGCUACUACAUUUUCAACAUCCAUUAUCCAUCUGAGCUGGCUUCAACUCUGGAGUUCCUUCAAAGGUGUUUCUUCUCGAUAAACCCAGAAAAAGGAACCAAAGUAGAGAGUAAGAACAACAAGCGUCGUCUCAACCUGAACCCUCGAGUCCUCACCCUGAUACAGGAUCUCUCCAAUCACGAGUGGCGUCAAGCCUAAAUAUGAACUCUAUGUGGACUCUGACUGUUUGUUUGAGAAGAGGUACUGUUAGGUUUCGCUUUGUUAAAUCCACAAUUUUUAUUAUUAUUAAGGCAAAAUAUGUAAUUUCUGUUUUAAAGUCUUGCAAUAUGUACAGGUGCACUAUGUAAUUUUUAUCUGACACCUGCUUGUUUCCAUUUUGUAUAUGUUGGAAAAAAAAAUCAUCCAAUUGUUUAUUGCGAUGGCUG